AAAAUGUUAUAGAUAAUUAAUUCGUAGUAAAUAAUUAAAAAGUCUUUAUUUAGAAUUUUAAUGUUUCUUUGAUAUAUAUAUAAGUUUUAGCUUGAGUUAUUAGAUUAAAUAAUAUUUUUUUUAGAAUUGUAGUAUAGAAUUUUUUGUAUUAAGGUGACUUAGACAAAGCAAAUGAAGAAUGUAUAGACAAAAUUUGUGCCAGCAGUUGCGGUUAUACAAAUUAUGCAAUUAAAAUUUUUCAGUAACAGUUAAUUUUAUUUAUUAGGUUUAAGGAUAUAAUUAUUAGGUGAAAUUUUAAUUAUAUUUAAGUUUAUAGUAUGAGGCUGGGAAAAUUGUAUAAAACUAGGAUUAGAUACCCUAUUAUGAAAUUGUAAAUAUGAAAGCUUGAUUAUUAGUAGUUAAGUUCUUGAAAAUUAAAAGAGUUGGCGGUAUUCUAGUCUUUUCAGAGGAACCUGUUUAGUAAUUGAUUAUCCACGUUUUAAAUUACUUGUUUUUAGUUUACAUAUCGCCGUGGUGGAAUAUUUAUUAAUAAUUAAAUAUUCAAGAUUUUUAUUUAAAGGAAUUCAGGUCAAGAUGUAGCAUGGACAAGAUGGAAUGGGUUACAUUAAGUUUAUUUAUGGAUAUUUAAGUGAAUAUUUAAAUUGAGAGAGGAUUUGAAAGUAAUUUUAACUAAAUUUUUAGGAUGAUUUUAGCUCUAGAAUAUGCACAUAUCGCCCGUCGCUUUCACUUAAAGUGAAAUAAGUCGUAACAAAGUAGAUGUACUGGAAAGUGUAUCUAGAA
rnacentral:rRNA from 1 species